rnacentral:rRNA from 1 species
CUGCCUGCCCAGUGACUGCAAAGUUAAACGGCCGCGGUAUCUUGACCGUGCGAAGGUAGCAUAAUCACUUGUCUCCUAAAUAGAGACUGGUAUGAAUGGCAAGACGGAGCUUCACUGUCUCCUCCUCUUUAAUCUGAAUUUCACAACCCCGUGAAGAGGCGGGGAUUAGUUCGUAAGACGAGAAGACCCUGUCGAGCUGUAGUAAAACUUUAACUGUUAUUCGCCACCAACCUUAACUAAUUAUAAUAAAAGUAGUGGGUGUUUGGUAUAACAAAUUAAAACAAACUUUGAUUGGGGCAAUCCCGGAGGAAGAAAAUCCUCCGUUACUAUAUGAUUAUGUUUAAUCUAACUUAAAAGAAUUAUUAUUCUAAAAUCAUAAAAAUGAAGGUGUGAUCCACUUAUAGUGAUCAAAAGAACAAGUUACCGCAGGGAUAACAGCGUUAUCUUUUCUGAGAGUUCAUAUUGACGAGAAGGUUUGCGACCUCGAUGUUGGAUCGGGACAUCCUAAGGGUGCAGAAGCUUUUAAGGGUUGGUCUGUUCGACCAUUAAAGUCCUACGUGA